UACGGAGGGAGCUAGCGUUGUUCGGAAUUACUGGGCGUAAAGCGCACGUAGGCGGCUUUCUAAGUCGGGGGUGAAAUCCUGGAGCUCAACUCCAGAACUGCCUUCGAUACUGGAGAGCUUGAGUCCGGGAGAGGUGAGUGGAACUGCGAGUGUAGAGGUGAAAUUCGUAGAUAUUCGCAAGAACACCAGUGGCGAAGGGCG
rnacentral:rRNA from 1 species